CAAUAGCGUAUAUUAAAGUUGUUGCAGUUAAAAAGCUCGUAGUUGGAUUUGUGGUGUACUUCGGCGGCCCGUCACUAUGUGAUGGAGCUUGCUGAAGUCGCCAUCCUUGGGUGGAUCCUGUGUGGCAUUAAGUUGUCGUGCAGGGGAUGCCCAUCGUUUACUGUGAAAAAAUUAGAGUGUUCAAAGCAGGCUUAUGCCGUUGAAUAUAUUAGCAUGGAAUAAUAAGAUAGGACCUUGGUACUAUUUUGUUGGUUUGCGCACCAAGGUAAUGAUUAAUAGGGACAGUUGGGGGUAUUCGUAUUUCAUUGUCAGAGGUGAAAUUCUUGGAUUUUUGAAAGACGAACUACUGCGAANGNAUUUACNAAGGAUGUUUNCAUUA
rnacentral:rRNA from 1 species